CAAGUCACCAUGGCAACCACUGGUUGCACGAGGGGACGUGAUGGAGGUUGAGCCGGAUUCUUUCAAAGGUGAAGGAAUGGUGCUGGUUAUGUAAUAUCAAUAGCCAAGGGGAAGGUUGCAAAUAUUGCUUGUGAAAGUUCUUUGACUGAUGAGAGAACAACCUAUGUCGAACAAGAGGAGCAUGUGCAGUGCAAGCUUGGCCUGGAGAAUCCCACUGUGACCAUUGACCUUCAGACAUUGGCAUCAGAAGUGAGGCAAUACUGCAGAGAUGUCGGCUGACAAUCAACGUCCAUUGUGUUCACAUCCUGACACACCAGAAAUGGCAUUGUGGCUCAGUGGUUAGCACUGCUGCCUCAAAAGACCUGGGUUCGAUUCUAGCCUUGGGCGACUGUCU